rnacentral:lncRNA from 1 species
CUGUUGGCCACACACCCUCAGCAGCUAAGCUUGUUUUAAAUAAUGUGCUCCAUUUGUUUGACCUUUGCUGUUUUCUCUUUCAGACGGGGAACUGGUGCUUUUAAAUCACGAGUAGGACUGCCUGCGCCUGCUCCUGUUAUCAAUAGCAAAUACGGACUUAGAGAAACAGAUAAACGCUUAAAUAGGCUUAAAAAGUUAGGUGACAGCAGCAAAAGCUCAGACAGUCAGUCUGUCAGCUCUAAUACAGACGCAGACACCACUCAGGAAAAAGACAAUGCAAGUAAGUAAGGGAGCUACUGUAAGGUGCCGGUUACACUCCUCAGUUCUGUAGAAUGCCCCAGAAGUUUUUUUUGGGUUUUUUGUUUUGUUUUGUUUUGUUUUUAAGAUUUAUUUAUUUUAUAUUUGUUAGUACACUGUCACUAUCUUCAGACACACCAUAAGAGGGCAUCAAAUCCCAUUACAGAUGGUUGUGAGCCACCAUGUGGUUGCUGGGAAAUGAACUCAGGACCUCUGGAAGAGCAGUUCAAUGCUCUUAACUGCUGAGCCAUCUCUCCAGCCCAGCAUCAGUAGUUUUGAAGUCCCAAAUUCAUAGAAACUGAGACUUGAGGCAUUUCAGCUAGAAAUGCACUUGGCAGUAUACACUUUUAGUCCAUAGCAGUUUUCAUCCACUCCAAAUUUAGAGCAAACCUCUAUAUGUAUUGUUGAAUACUUGGUAAUUUGACAUUGAAAUAUUCAGUAUAUGUUCCAGGACUAUUGUGCUCAAGGAAAACAUUUUCAAGUCCUUGGUGAUUGUGUAAUAGUGUUUUAGGCCCUGCAAGAGCUUGGCUGGGGGGCUGGGGAUUUAGCUCAGUGGUAGAGCGCUUACCUAGGAAGCGCAAGGCCCUGGGUUCGGUCCCCAGCUCCGGAAAAAAAAAAAAA